rnacentral:sRNA from 1 species
GUUACAAUAAAGAAAUUAAAAGUAUAAUACAAGAAAAUACAAAAGUGGUAUCAGAAGUGGGAUUAAAUAAAAACCAUACCACCAAAAAAAUAAUAAUUAAUUCAAAUGGCAUCAGAAGAGGCAAUUGAGUUCUUAACUUCUGCAAUUGCUCAAGCUAUACAAAAAGCAGUACUAAAUGGAAUGCUACUGAAUAUCACAACUACGCACGGGUGCACAUGGGCGCUGAUCUAAGUAACGCUCUAAAAAUUCUGAAUUGACCAAGGAGCCCAGAAUCAUUAAAAUUCGAGGAAAAUAAGUCACUCCUUGUUGGGCAAUUUGAUAGCAAAUUAAAAAAAAAUUGUCCAAAGCCAUGACUAAUCAAUAGCCGAUUUCUCACUCCGACUGAAACAAGGAGCAGUCGAUUAGUAUUGUUGUUGUUGUUGUAGCAGUGUGUUGUACGCUGAGGCGGUAGCCCUUGCCGAUGAAAGACUCCAUCGCCCAUAUACUUACUUUGAAUACACCUACCCAUGGACUACUGCGACCGACUAGUGCCGUUUACGGCGCAGCCAACAUUCCCGCCAUUUGGCAGAGGUGUAUGGAAGCAGUGUUAAAGAAUAUUCCCAAUGUUAUUAGUUUUUUCGAUGACAUACUAUUAAAUGCAGACUCAUUCUCAAAGAUGAUUUCAAGCCUAGAGUUAGUGCUGUCUAGCAUGAAAGAACAAGGCCUCCAUUUAAAUCGAUCAAAAUGAGUAUUUUCUGGCAUUCAUACAUCGAGUAAACAUGUCGAUGCAGCUUUUCUUAGAUUAAUGUUGGCGCAGGAAAAAUUCGAUUGGACUGAGGAAGCAGAUCGGGCAUAUGGAAAUAAAAGGAGCAAUAAACUUCACCGCAAGUACUUAUGCCAUACGACUCGGAUCUUCCCUUACUACUCGCAACAAAUGGUAGCAAAACCGGAUUGGGUGCAGUACUUUCGCAUAUGUUACCAAAUGGCAUCUGCCAGUCGCACUUUGACAUCGACGGAAAAAAAGUACCCACAAAUCGAUAAAGAACCGUUGGUGAUAGUAUGGGCAGUAAAAAAAUUCUUUAAAUAUUUAUAUGGUAGACACUUUACAUAAGUAAUUGACCAUAAACCAUUAUCCCAAAUACUACAUCCAGAAAAGGGUCUACCCGCACUAUGCAUAAGCAGAAUGGCUAAUUACUCCAAAUUUCUCAUUAAUUUUAAUUAUGAUAUAGUAUUCAAACCAAUAAAAUCCAAUGCAAAUGCAGACUAUUGCUCGUGAGUAAGACAUUCUUUAAAAAUUCAUCAGGUAAGCACGCCACAAGAGUACAGAGGAUUCACAGCAAGGGAUAGAAUGGUUUGAGGACUUUAUGGUACGGCAAA